GUGUUCUCUUCGAUAGCACAUAUACUAAAAUUGGAAUGAUACAAAGAAGAUUAGCAUGGCCCCUGCACAAGGAUGACAUGCAAAUUCAUGAAGCAUUCCAUAUUUUU
ensembl:snRNA U6 U6 spliceosomal RNA